UACAGAGGGGGCAAGCGUUGUUCGGAAUUACUGGGCGUAAAGGGCGCGUAGGCGGCCUUCUAAGUCGAACGUGAAAUCCCCGGGCUCAACCCGGGAACUGCGUCCGAUACUGGAAGGCUUGAAUCCGGGAGAGGGAUGCGGAAUUCCAGGUGUAGCGGUGAAAUGCGUAGAUAUCAGGAGGAACACCGGUGGCGAAGGCGGGUCUCUGGGCCGUAACUGACGCUGAGGAGCGAAAGCAUGGGGAGCAAACAGG
rnacentral:rRNA from 1 species